rnacentral:rRNA from 1 species
GAUGAACGCUGGCGGCAUGCCUAAUACAUGCAAGUCGAGCGAACAGACGAGGAGCUUGCUCCUCUGACGGUAGCGGCGGACGGGUGAGUAACACGUGGUUAACCUACCUAUAAGACUUGGAUAACAUCGGCGGACCGUAGCUACUACCGGAAAAUAUAUUGAACCGCAUGGUUCAAUCGUUAAAGAAGGUUUUGCUGUCGCUUAUAGAUGAAUCCGGCUGUCAUUAGCUAGUUGGUAAGGUAACGGCUUAACAACGCAACGAUGGGUAGCCGACCUGAGAGGGUGAACCGCCAGCCUGGAACUGAGACAGAGCACAGACUCCGACGGGAGGCAGCGGUAGGGAAUCUUCCGCGAUGGAGCAAAGCCUGAUGGAGCAACGCCGCGUGAGUGAUGAAGGUCUUCGGAUCGUAAAACUCUGUUAUUAGGGAAGAACAAAUGUGUAAGUAACUAUGCACGUCUUGACAGUACCUAAUCAGAAAGCCACGGCUAACUACGUG